GUCUACGGCCAUGCCACCCUGAAUCCUGUCUGAUCUCAGAAGCUAAGCAGGGUUGGGCCUGGUUAGUACUUGGAUGGGAGACCACCUAGGAAGACCAGGUGCUGUAGGCG
rnacentral:rRNA from 1 species